rnacentral:rRNA from 1 species
CAGUAGCCACGGGAAUACGUAGGGUGCAAGCGUUAUCCGGAAUUAUUGGGCGUAAAGAGCUCGUAGGCGGUUUGUCGCGUCUGCUGUGAAAACUGGAGGCUCAACCUCCAGCCUGCAGUGGGUACGGGCAGACUAGAGUGCGGUAGGGGAGAUUGGAAUUCCUGGUGUAGCGGUGGAAUGCGCAGAUAUCAGGAGGAACACCGAUGGCGAAGGCAGAUCUCUGGGCCGUAACUGACGCUGAGGAGCGAAAGCGUGGGGAGCGAACAGGAUUAGAUACCCCAGUAGUCCCUGUCUCUUAUAC